rnacentral:lncRNA from 1 species
UGCAUUGUACGGAAUUUUUAAAGCUCGAUCUGACCUUCUAGAUGGAAAUCUGAUAAAAUAAAUACUAGCAAACUCUUUGAGGAUUUAUCAUUGCUUGUCCCAUUGUGUCUUCAGAUUUCGAUGGGAAACGGUCUUUAUUCCAUGUAUUUUAUAAAAAAUUACUCGUAUUACUGUAGAACUUACUCUCCCUGUCUUAAACUUACUCUCU